ensembl:lincRNA
GGAAGACGGUCUCCGUCCGCCUGUGGCUGAGGACCAUGCCGUGGCCCUGCUGCAGUGGCCUGGGCCGGCCCAGCAGCCAGGUGCUCUUGGGACACCUCCUGCCCUGGCCUGGUCAGAUGACAGUGACGCUGAGGGGCCGGGGCUGAGUCCGAGGGGCACAGCCUGCAGCCUGCCAAUGUGGUCCGUCGGCCAGGAGGCCAGGGACAGGGACAGCUCAGUAUCCUCUGGGCGCCUGUCUGGCUCCUCAGGGGGCCAUGUGUCUCGUGCUCCUCCCUACUGGCCCUGGAAGGAGGGGCCAUCCCGGGUGCCAGGGUCACAGCGGCGGCCCAGAAAGAGUGACACACGGCUGGAGCGGCUGAGGGACCGGAUCCGCCAGCAGGUGCGGGGGCAGGUGAACUGCGCCUCCCUUGGCACCUCAGCCCCCUCCAGCGCCUCGCGCCUCUGUUCUGCCUCCAUGCAAGAACUGCGCCCCGUGGCACCUCAGCCCCCUCCAGCGCCUCGCGCCUCUGUUCUGCCUCCAUGUCGGCGCCCCAGAGGACCCGCAAGGUGACAGGCACGCUUCCAGCCCCCACACACCCAGGCUUUGGCAUCCACAUGACUGAGCCCCAAGGGGAAGGCCAGGCGCUGUCCCGGGCCACCCAGCACCGGGCUGCAGCUCCCCAGGACAAAACCAGAAGGACCAGGAGCCGCUCCUGCAGAAGGGACAAAGCCCCCAGGUUGCCCUUGCCCAGCAGAGCUGCCAAAGGGAAAGACCCCGAGUCUGUUGGUGUCCGUGCCUGGAGGAGAGGACAAGAGCUGGCCAGACUGCUGCUGGGGCCACCUCCUGCCCGGCCCACACUCCGGAGCACCGGCCCCACUAUGGGACUAGGGGACAGCAAGGCCACAGCAGCCAAGGGCUCAUUGGCCCACACACGGCCACACAGGCCCACUGCGGCCCUCAGUGACCCACAGGAGUCCGAGAACACAGCCUUCCUGGCUUCCCACGGACAGCAGGCAUCGAUCCAGAGCACCAUGGCCGUCCUACAAGGUCUCCGCCAGCAAACCCAGGCUAAGCUGGAACUGGCCCAGGGCCCUGAGGCUGGACAGAAGCGCAGGCCGUUGAAGCUGAAACCACAGAACCUGGGCCAGCGGGGUCCCUGGAGCAAGCAGCGCAAGCAGGGCGCCUUCCCACAGAGGCCUUGGGUAGUGACAGAGCAGACGCGCUCCUCCUCAGACAGGGCCAGGCGCUCCCCACCCCAGCACCCUGUGAGCACCUUGGGGGAGUGGGAACCCUGUCACCAGCAGGCCUGUGCAGCCGGAGGAUGGGACACCUCCUUCCAGAAACCUCCGAGUCCCCCCGAGAAGCUGAGCCCCUCUUCUCAGCGGCCUUGGAGCGCCCUGGCCGGUCAGGCCGGUCCUCAACGAGUCUGGGUGGACGGCGAAGACCGGGAGGUUCCUGUCCCCAGACCACGGCACCCUCUGGAAAGACCGUAUCCGGCCCCUCAGCACCCCUGGAGUGGCUCCUUCCUGCAAAGGGUUGGAUCUGCCUGCAAGGGCAGAGGCGCUGUCACCCCUCCUUCGAAAGCCAAGCAGGCCUGGCCACGGAGCCUACCAGGGAAGGAGCCGGGUACAGAGUCAUGCCCACCCCACCUGCAGCCCCGGGGGCUCUUGGGCCGGCCGCACAGCUCCGAGGCCCUGUGCGAUUUCAUGUACCAGAAGACACAGGCACGGUGGCAGCAGGCCCUGCAGCAGGUGGUUGCAGCCACGGACGCGCUCGAGCGGAGGAGCCAGCGGCUACAGGAGGUCUACCGGAAGCAGAGGGAGGCCAUGCAGGGCCAGGCGGUCCCUGUGGUCUCCCAGAUGAGCCCCGGCAUUGUCACCUUCGUCCCCAGUUCCGCACAGUCAGGGGUCCUGAAGGCCCCCAGGAGCCCGGAGCCACGAGAGCUGGGGCGGAGCACGGUGACGUCGGGGAAGGUCCUGGGGGACCAGGAGGUGCCGGGCAGCUUCUGUCUGUGUCUGAACAGAGCUUGGAACCGCCCGGAAAUGCCCCUGCCCGUGUCUGCCGCUUCCUCGCAUCCGGCCCGGGGGCUGCAUGUCUGCCUGGACCCGCAGGCG